UUCCCUAUUUGUAAGCAGUCAAUUGGCGGAACUGUAGGAGUGCUCAACAACCCAAAAGUCUGCCAGCAAAAGGGAUUAUAAAGGUGGUACUGUUCUUGCACUGGUUUCAAUUGUAUAGCUGUGAGAGUCACAUCAACGCAAGGAGCUUUUGUCACAAUAAAAUUGAUCAAUAAUGAUUGGAAACUGAACUUCAGAAACUUGAACAUUUGAGAACAUUACUCCUUGCACAGAUCCUGAUCCACCCUGGAGAGUAUAAAUUCGACGUGUUAGAGAUAAGCCAGAACUUCAAUUUGUAUGAGAAAAGUGAAUAUUCAACAAUGCGGUUCUGCUCUAACUUUGAUGUAUGUAGCCAUGUGACAGUGAGUGUAGGUACAUCUGUUGGAUUUGAUCAGAUUAUUGCUAUCUUCCCUUUUCACAGAGUCGUUUAACUGUUUGCAAUUGAAAUAUUCAGUAGAUAGCUCAACUGGGAAUGGUUCUUAUCCGAAACCUCGGAUUAAAUUAAA